rnacentral:rRNA from 1 species
UACGGAGGGAGCUAGCGUUAUUCGGAAUUACUGGGCGUAAAGCGCACGUAGGCGGCUUUGUAAGUAAGAGGUGAAAGCCCAGAGCUCAACUCUGGAAUUGCCUUUUAGACUGCAUCGCUUGAAUCAUGGAGAGGUCAGUGGAAUUCCGAGUGUAGAGGUGAAAUUCGUAGAUAUUCGGAAGAACACCAGUGGCGAAGGCGAUCACCUGGGGUUGUUCUGACGCUGAGGAGGCGAAAGCUAGGGGAGCAAACGGG